GAUGAACGCUGGCGGCGUGCCUAAUACAUGCAAGUCGAGCGAACGGACGAGAAGCUUGCCUCUCUGAUGUUAGCGGCGGACGGGUGAGUAACACGUGGAUAACCUACCUAUAAGACUGGGAUAAACUCGGGAAACCGGAGCUAAUACCGGCUAAUAUUUUGAACCGCAUGGUUCAAAAGUGAAAGACGGUCUUGCUGUCACUUAUAGAUGGAUCCGCGCUGCAUUAGCUAGUUGGUAAGGUAACGGCUUACCAAGGCAACGAUGCAUAGCCGACCUGAGAGGGUGAUCAGCCACACUGGAACUGAGACACGGUCCAGACUCCUACGGGAGGCAGCAGUAGGGAAUCUUGCGCAAAGGGCGAAAGCCUGACGGAGCAACGCCGCGUGAGUGAUGAAGGUCUUCGGAUCGUAAAACUCUGUUAUUAGGGAAGAACAUAUGUGUGAGUAACUGUGCACAUCUUGACGUUACCUAAUCAGAAAGCCACGGCUAACUACGUG
rnacentral:rRNA from 1 species